UGGAUCCAGACUUUUAUUCUGGCUCAGGAUGAACGCUAGCUACAGGCUUAACACAUGCAAGUCGAGGGGCAGCAUGGUCUUAGCUUGCUAAGGCCGAUGGCGACCGGCGCACGGGUGAGUAACACGUAUCCAACCUGCCGUCUACUCUUGGACAGCCUUCUGAAAGGAAGAUUAAUACAAGAUGGCAUCAUGAGUCCGCAUGUUCACAUGAUUAAAGGUAUUCCGGUAGACGAUGGGGAUGCGUUCCAUUAGAUAGUAGGCGGGGUAACGGCCCACCUAGUCUUCGAUGGAUAGGGGUUCUGAGAGGAAGGUCCCCCACAUUGGAACUGAGACACGGUCCAAACUCCUACGGGAGGCAGCAGUGAGGAAUAUUGGUCAAUGGGCGAGAGCCUGAACCAGCCAAGUAGCGUGAAGGAUGACUGCCCUAUGGGUUGUAAACUUCUUUUAUAAAGGAAUAAAGUCGGGUAUGGAUACCCGUUUGCAUGUACUUUAUGAAUAAGGAUCGGCUAACUCCGUGCCAGCAGCCGCGGUAAUACGGAGGAUUCUAGCGUUAUCCGGAUUUAUUGGGUUUAAAGGGAGCGUAGAUGGAUGUUUAAGUCAGUUGUGAAAGUUUGCGGCUCAACCGUAAAAUUGCAGUUGAUACUGGAUAUCUUGAGUGCAGUUGAGGCAGGCGGAAUUCGUGGUGUAGCGGUGAAAUGCUUAGAUAUCACGAAGAACUCCGAUUGCGAAGGCAGCCUGCUAAGCUGCAACUGACAUUGAGGCUCGAAAGUGUGGGUAUCAAACAGGAUUAGAUACCCUGGUAGUCCACACGGUAAACGAUGAAUACUCGCUGUUUGCGAUAUACGGCAAGCGGCCAAGCGAAAGCGUUAAGUAUUCCACCUGGGGAGUACGCCGGCAA
rnacentral:rRNA from 1 species